GUUAGGUUUCCUAUCUUCUGGGGAUUCAGAUCGCGUUGGUUUUAGACGACGCUCCCAUGUUGUCCACUUCCCGUAAUUUAGCUGCAGUUGAAGACGAUUUUUGGUUUUGUACAAGAAUGCAGUUGUUAAAAGAGUGGGUAUAAAACUAGGUAUGAAACCUUUUCUUGCGUUCUUCUUCCUCUCUUCUCCCAGACUCCAACAUAAAUACGAUUCACUAGUUUAAAUCGAUCGGUAUGAACAACAUCGAAAGUUUUUAGAGUUUUUUCAUCAAAAUCUACAGUAAAACGAGGAGAUUCAAACAGGGUUGUGUUGUUCUAGGCUGGUAGUUAUACGACGAACUGGUGGUAUGUUCGAUGCCCUUUUCAUCACUGCCGACUUUGGUUUUUCGGUUGCCCCUCAUCCCUCCCGGGUCUAUUGAGCACAGAUUCGUGUAAAAAUCCUUUGGAUGCUGUAAUUGAAGGGCGAAAUUGAAGCGUAACGGGUGAUGACUUUCUGGGUUUAAGUUUUUAUGAAGCGGGAAAAGCUUUAUAUUCUGCAAAACACUUACUGUUCUCGUGAAUUAGAGAAAAUAGGCGAAGAACUUCACUUCACGUAUCAAGUCAUUUGUAUUCAAUUUGGAACAUUAAGCCAUUAAGGUUCUGUUCAUCUUAUAAAGAUAAACCACUAUUCAUCAAUCUACAAAUUUCGGACUAAAAGAACGAAGGUUGGAAGGAGAAGAAUACAUCUCCAUAGUGGACGAAUUGAUGGAAGCCCUUCAUACACGUUGUCCAAAAGCUCUUAUCUAGUUAGAAGAUUUACAAUCCAAGUGGGCUUUUGAGAUUCUUCAAAGAUACAUAAACAAGUACAGGUCCAUUACUAAAUUUUCACCAAGAUUUGAUCUUUUUUUGUUCUGCAUGUUUUAAUUUGCAAUUGGAAUAAAGGGUACUAUAUCUAAAUAGUUUUGUGUCAUUAUGAUUGAGCAAGGAUUGCCAUGGACUGCAGAGAUGAUGCACGAAAGUCGAAACUGGAAACAUCGGCGCGUGCGCGAGAUGCUAAUUCUUUGGUUGAUUUUCCAUCAAAAAUAGGAGAAGUUGAGGACAUGUUGAGUCGGUUGUUUGCUAUCUGGUUUAGAUCUGUCUCAGUAGCUACAAACACAGAAAAACUAACCCUCGGCAACGACACGGUGGCAAUGGGUGGCGAUGCAGUUUGUUGUGGCGGCGAUGUUCAUCAGAAUCUAACGAGACGGGUAGGGACUUUACUCGUAUUGUCGACCUUUUAGAGUGUUGAGGAAUCAAAGACAUUGAUUAAAAGGCACGGAUUGUCAAAGCUGCAAACAGCGAACCUUAAUUUACAAUCAACACAAAGCUAAUCCAAUCCAAUUGUUAUCCAUUCAAGUGAGCCGCUGGUUGUUAUCCAUCCAACACUGAGGUGAAAUUAUCUAUCUGUAAGGAUCUUUGAUAAAUUUAUUUGUUAACUUCUGAUUUAAGAUACAAAAAUUUGAAAUUAUAUGUUUAUUUUAAUAAUUUUUGUAUUUGAUGUGAUGUGUUCUAGGUGUUUGAUGAAAUGUUAGAUAUGUUCAAAUGGAGCAACUGUCUAAAUUCUCUUUGUUUUAUUUUUUUAUGUUUUCCAAAUGCCUCUUUUCUACUAAUAACUUGUACACUUGUACACAAUUGGAGCAUAUGUAGAAUGCAUCAGCAGUAGAGUAUGUCUUUCGAUAGUGUCUCGCCUGGCUAUUAAGAAUGCCUCACUACCGCUCAAUGGCAAAUUGACUGGAAUGGCUUUUGGUGUACCAACCGUGGACGGUAUGCGUGUGGGUGAAGAUCCAGGUCCCAGAUGCAUUUACUUUGGUCGACAUGAUGGUUAAGUAUAGUCGUUUGAGUCUGGAUAUGGCAGGGAACGAAGGUGGGUCAUACACGCAAUCUUUAAUCCGAUGGAGGAUUUAGAACAGCUGCAAUGAGAGGGUGUUCAACCGGAAUUAUAAAAUGACCUCUGCAGUGAUGGAUGAGAUAAAAGAGUCCUGGUGGGCGACUAAAAUGCUUAAAAUCAGAAGUAUCAGGUCGACUAACUGGGCAGCUUCAGUGGGCUCGAUUUUGGCUAGGCUUUGUUGUCAGUUAGUAUUGGGGCCUUUCUGUUGUAUUGUUUUUUCUUUUUGCUUUGUCUCUUCAACUGUCAUGAGUUCAAACUCGAUAAGUGACAAAUUGUUGUCUUCCUUAAUAGAAAAAUCAGCUGGUUCUGUUACUUCAACACGACCCCAUUUGUCAA